rnacentral:rRNA from 1 species
GAUGAACGCUGGCGGCGUGCCUAAUACAUGCAAGUCGAGCGAACGGACGAGAAGCUUGCUUCUCUGAUGUUAGCGGCGGACGGGUGAGUAACACGUGGAUAACCUACCUAUAAGACUGGGAUAACUUCGGGAAACCGUAGCUAAUACCGGAUAAUAUUUUGAACCGCAUGGUUCAAAAGUGAAAGACGGUCUUGCUGUCACUUAUAGAUGGAUCCGCGCUGCAUUAGCUAGUUGGUAAGGUAACGGCUUACCAAGGCAACGAUGCAUAGCCGACCUGAGAGGGUGAUCGGCCACACUGGAACUGAGACACGGUCAAGACUCCUAAGGGAGGCAGCAGUAGGGAAUCUUCCGCAAUGGGCGAAAGCCUGACGGAGCAACGCCGCGUGAGUGAUGAAGGUCUUCGGAUCGUAAAACUCUGUUAUUAGGGAAGAACAUAUGUGUAAGUAACUGUGCACAUCUUGACGGUACCUAAUCAGAAAGCCACGGCUAACUACGUG